rnacentral:piRNA from 1 species
GCAUAAUCUUUAAGGGUAGGGAAUGG